rnacentral:rRNA from 1 species
UGAGUACGAGAUGCUACGGCAUCGAAGCAGUCUAUGUCAUACUUCCAAGAAAAGCUUGCACUGUCAGAAACAGAUAAUGCCUGUACCAUAACCGACACAGGUGGGUAGGUAGAGUAUACUAAGGGGCGCGAGAUAACUCUCUCUAAGGAACUCGGCAAAAUGACUCCGUAACUUCGGGAGAAGGAGUGCCUUAUUUUUAAGGUUGCAAUAACAAGAUCCAAGCAACUGUUUACCAAAAACACAGGUCUCCGCUAAGUCGUAAGACGAUGUAUGGGGGCUGACGCCUGCCCAGUGCCAGAAGGUUAAAGAAGUCGGUUAGCAUUCGCGAAGCUGGUAACUGAAGCCCUGGUGAACGGCGGCCGUAACUAUAACGGUCCUAAGGUAGCGAAAUUCCUUGUCGGGUAAGUUCCGACCCGCACGAAAGGCGUAAUGAUUUGGAUACUGUCUCGGAGAGGGGCUCGGUGAAAUAGACUUGUCUGUGAAGAUGCGGACUACCUGCACCUGGACAGAAAGACCCUAUGAAGCUUUACUGUAACUUGAAAUUGAAAUUGGACUUUAUUUGCGCAGUAUAGGUGGGAGGCGUUGAAAAUAUUCUUGCGGGAAUAUUGGAGCCAUCAGUGAGAUACCACUCUUGUAAUGUUAGAUUUCUAACUUUAUAUCAUUAUCUGGUUAAAGAACAGUUUCAGGCGGGCAGUUUGACUGGGGCGGUCGCCUCCCAAAUGGUAACGGAGGCGCACAAAGGUUUCCUCUGAACGGGUAGAAAUCGUAUCUAGAGUGUAAAGGCAUAAGGAAGCUUGACUGUGAGACCUACAAGUCGAGCAGGGACGAAAGUCGGUCUUAGUGAUCUGACGGUGCUGAGUGGAAAGGCCGUCACUCAACGGAUAAAAGUUACUCUAAGGAUAACAGGCUGAUCUCCCCCAAGAGUUCACAUCGACGGGGAGGUUUGGCACCUCGAUGUCGGCUCAUCGCAUCCUGGGGCGGUAGUACGUCCCAAGGGUUGGGCUGUUCGCCCAUGAAAGCGGUACGCGAGCUGGGUUCAGAACGUCGUGAGACAGUUCGGUCCAUAUCCGGUGUAGGCGUUAGAAUAUUGAGAGGAGCCUUCUUUAGUACGAGAGGACCGAGAAGGACAUACCUCUGGUGUACCAGUUAUCGUGCCAACGGUAAACGCUGGGUAGCUAUGUAUGGAGUGGAUAACCGCUGAAAGCAUCUAAGUGGGAAGCCCACCUCAAGAUAAGUAUUCUCA